AGAUUGAACGCUGGCGGCAGGCCUAACACAUGCAAGUCGAGCGGUAGAGGGGUGCUUGCACCUCUUGAGAGCGGCGGACGGGUGAGUAAUGCCUAGGAAUCUGCCUAGUGGUGGGGGAUAACGUUCGGAAACGGACGCUAAUACCGCAUACGUCCUACGGGAGAAAGCGGGGGACCUUCGGGCCUCGCGCCAUUAGAUGAGCCUAGGUCGGAUUAGCUAGUUGGUGAGGUAAUGGCUCACCAAGGCGACGAUCCGUAACUGGUCUGAGAGGAUGAUCAGUCACACUGGAACUGAGACACGGUCCAAGACCCUACGGA
rnacentral:rRNA from 1 species